rnacentral:rRNA from 1 species
CCUACGGGAGGCAGCAGUGAGGAAUAUUGGUCAAUGGACGUGAGUCUGAACCAGCCAAGUAGCGUGAAGGAUGACUGCCCUAUGGGUUGUAAACUUCUUUUAUAAAGGAAUAAAACGUGGCACGUGUGCCUUUUUGUAUGUACCUUAUGAAUAAGGAUCGGCUAACUCCGUGCCAGCAGCCGCGGUAAUACGGAGGAUCCGAGCGUUAUCCGGAUUUAUUGGGUUUAAAGGGAGCGUAGAUGGGUUGUUAAGUCAGUGGUGAAAGUUUGCGGCUCAACCGUAAAAUUGCAAUUGAUACUGGCAGUCUUGAGUACAGUUGAGGUAGGCGGAAUUCGUGGUGUAGCGGUGAAAUGCUUAGAUAUCACGAAGAACCCCGAUUGCGAAGGCAGCUUACUAAGCUGUGACUGACAUUGAUGCUCGAAAGUGUGGGUAUCAAACAGGAUUAGAUACCCCUGUAGUC